rnacentral:rRNA from 1 species
GACGAACGCUGGCGGCAUGCCUAAUACAUGCAAGUCGAGCGGAGUUGAUGAGAAGCUUGCUUCUCUGAUACUUAGCGGCGGACGGGUGAGUAACACGUAGGCAACCUGCCCUCAAGCUUGGGACAACUACCGGAAACGGUAGCUAAUACCGAAUACUUGUUUUCUUCGCCUGAAGGAAACUGGAAAGACGGAGCAAUCUGUCACUUGGGGAUGUGCCUGCGGCGCAUUAGCCAGUUGGUGAGGUAACGGCUCACCAAGGCGACGAUGCGUAGCCGACCUGAGAGGGUGAUCGGCCACACUGGGACUGAGACACGGCCCAGACUCCUACGGGAGGCAGCAGUAGGGAAUCUUCCGCAAUGGGCGAAAGCCUGACGGAGCAAUGCCGCGUGAGUGAUGAAGGUUUUCGGAUCGUAAAGCUCUGUUGCCAGGGAAGAACGCUUGGGAGAGUAACUGCUCCCAAGGUGACGGUACCUGAGAAGAAAGCCCCGGCUAACUACGUGCCAGCAGCCGCCGUAA